CACGAUCUCCACCCCGCGCCCCUCUCCGCAACCGCUCCUCCCGUCUAUAUAAUCCAAAUCAAACCCCCGGACGGACGUCCUCUCACCACACCGCGCCCAAAGCCCCAAAUCUCAUCGAGUUUCCUCCCUCAGAGCGCCUUCACGACGUUGCCGAACCUUCCCCGAAGGUUGCCGCCGUCGUUGAGCCGUUGGAGACCGCCCUGACGUGAACUUGCCCCUCAAAUGGGUUCGCCGUCAUCUCCUCUCCGCGUUCCACCGCUCGCCGUCGAAGGCCGGCCACCGGAGCUCAACUCCGGCGACUCUCCGGCCAAGCGCCACCGCACUGAGCCCCGCACCGCCGAUGAGAGGAGGAAGACUCAAAUUCCUACGAUUAGUCGAUGACGUUCUGGAACAGUUCGAGUGACUUUAAGAUCAAAAUUUCGACAACACUGAGCAGCACUUCGGAAGGAGGCAAGUGUCCUUAAACAUCUUGCACCUAUUUUUACGAAUUUAUGUUAGUUGUUUAUCCUUCAUUGCAUGUUUGUCUAAAUUGAAAACCUAUGAAUAGAGUUUACUAGCUUUUGUCUGAAUAUCCUUGUCGCUAUUGAUGAGUCAUGGGAAGAGAAUGGUAGAUAUGCUAGUCGCUGUUCUGGUUGGGUUAGAAGUUAAACUUGACUAACGAUUAUGCAACAUGAAUUGGGUAUGAUAAUCUUUCGUAGCAACAUGGAAUAGAGAUCCUAACAGGGAGGUUGUUAUGUGGAUGGUGCAUGAAGGCGCAUGUGUUGUGCCGCACUUUGGGAAUGUGUCUGUUCUUGUGUGGGGUCCUAAGGACCGGUUCUUGAAGCCUGUAACCCGGCAUAACAGCACAACCAUAAGGCCUAUAUGGGUACGGCCUGGCCAAGUAAUUAGUGUCCUUCAUAUUCUGUACGCACCAAUGGACGGUUAAGUGGCACAAGAUGUGGCCUCUACAGUGGAUGAAAUCCCUGUUAGUGGUGAAACCUUAGUGGGUGCAUAUGGAUUUGGAGGCGCUUUGUAACGGCCUUGUAGUGAGAUCCUGGCUCUACACCCCAGAAGUAUGAAGCAAAACGGGAAUCACGACUCGUGGGUAAAGUGUGCAAACUUUGCAGAGUGUAAAAUUGAUCGAUCAGCCGUGCUCACGGUCAAGAGCGGCUUGGGCUUCUUCGUGAUUAUAUGGGAAUCCUAAGGGUUGAUUUGGGUAGUCGGGUGGUGGAACUCCCGAUGAGUCGGUAGCCGAAUAUGGAAUAUCUGGUGAGCCUAGUAGUCGGAUGAAAUUCGAUGAGCUGUUCUUCUUGUUUAAGUUGUGUCUUUAUACCUAGUAAAUAGGAUGCCUGAUUCUGGGAGUUGUAGGUUAAUGUUGCUUAGUGCAGUAAACCAGUGUCUAACCUUUUUCUUGACUUAAGCCGUCAUGUCAUAUUUUUCUACACUUUGCGGAGUACGAUAUGUACUCACACUUGCUAUUUUCAAAAAUAAAUACUGCUCAGUUGGAGAAGACUACACAGAGAUCAAUGAAGCUGAAGACUACAAUGAAGAUGGAGCGUCCUAGGUCGCGUUGCCCCCAGUCGAUUGCCUGUGGUGUGCUCUAAAGCUUUUGUUAGAGUUUUCUCGAGUUCUUCCGCUGCUGUUCAAAACUCUGAAACUACCAAUGCAGCGAACGAGCGAGGCUGGUAAUUUUAAUUUGCUGCGCUUGGUUCCAGUUAAUGGUGGUUGAGCUAAUACGUGAUCGAUCAAUAUAAUGCCCAAUAGAUCAUCACCAAGUCUCCAACCAAUCAUGGCAUGGGGAACCACAGGUGUCAUGCAUGCCAUGGCAGCAGCACCCAGUAGUGGGGCACCCAGUAGUGGGGAUCACAACUAUAUGAAGGAGGCAAAGGUGUCCAUGCCAUGGCAGCAGCAACCAGUAGUGGGGAUCACAACUACAAUAAGCAAGAUUAAUUGUAUAUGUUUAUAAGUGUUAGGGGAAAUAUUCUAGUUCACCGAUAAUACUAAGGGGACGCCAUUAAAAGUUUCUUUGGAGAUCUUGGGUUCCGGACUCUCUACUAAAGCUAAGGCUUUCAGAGAUAAGGGAAGAAGUUGGCCUCCGAAGGGAAUAUCAGCAAAAGAAGAACAUCAAAGAUAAUUGGCCUGACACGAGUUGACUAGCAAUUAAUACCGGUGUAAGUGGUGGCCACCCUGAUAUUCCAGCGCAAGUGGAAUCCAGACUGACACUUUGACAGUGCGGCGCCGCAAUGGGCGACCGACUGAGUACCACGCCCUUAGGGCUAGUUGCACCAC